AUACGGAGGAUCCGAGCGUUAUCCGGAUUUAUUGGGUUUAAAGGGAGCGUAGGCGGACGCUUAAGUCAGUUGUGAAAGUUUGCGGCUCAACCGUAAAAUUGCAGUUGAUACUGGGUGUCUUGAGUACAGUAGAGGCAGGCGGAAUUCGUGGUGUAGCGGUGAAAUGCUUAGAUAUCACGAAGAACUCCGAUUGCUAAGGCAGCCUGCUGGACUGUAACUGACGCUGAUGCUCGAAAGUGUGGGUAUCAAACAGGAUUAGAUACCCUGGUAGUCCACACAGUAAACGAUGAAUACUCGCUGUUUGCGAUAUACAGUAAGCGACCAAGCGAAAGCGUUAAGUAUUCCACCUGGGGAGUACGCCGGCAACGGUGAAACUUAAAGGAAUUGACGGGG
rnacentral:rRNA from 1 species